rnacentral:antisense_RNA from 14 species
AUACAAAAAUUAAAAAACACAUGACACAUCUUUUCUUUAGGUAAGUCGUUUACAAACUUUGGCGAGGAGUAACACGUUCUUUUUAUUUGUUU